rnacentral:piRNA from 1 species
UAGAUUCCAUGAAGCUCUUGGAGCUGGGUC